UUGAACUGAAGAGUUUGAUCCUGGCUCAGAUUGAACGCUGGCGGCAUGCCUUACACAUGCAAGUCGAACGGCAGCACGGGUGCUUGCACCUGGUGGCGAGUGGCGAACGGGUGAGUAAUACAUCGGAACAUGUCCUGUAGUGGGGGAUAGCCCGGCGAAAGCCGGAUUAAUACCGCAUACGAUCUACGGAUGAAAGCGGGGGACCUUCGGGCCUCGCGCGUAUAGGGUUG
rnacentral:rRNA from 1 species